UCCCCAAUCCCACAACCACCUCAAUCCCCAAUCCCACAACCACCUCAAUCCCCAAUCCCACAACCACCUCAAUCCCCAAUCCCACAACCACCUCAAUCACCACUCUUCCAGUUACCUCUACUACCAUUACAACACUGAGCAGCAGGUCUAGACACAUACUUGUAGUGAGCAUAAAACUUUCCUAUCAGCCACUGCUUACAGGUUUGCUCACAGAUGCAAACAUCACAACAGAAGUCUUACCACAAAUCCGUGAUCAACUGAUCACAAACGGGGUGCCAGAGAGCUUCAUCACACUGAGGCUGAUAGCAACUCAUGAUGUCAGAUCCUGAGUGAGGGGCAGGAAUUCGGCUUACGUUUCUUUCACUCGCGGUGCCUUCAGAAAUUAUUCAGACCCCUUCACUUUCUGUCUUUCUGUUUCUGUCAAUCUACACACCCACAUAAAAUGCUAAAAACCUUUGUACCAUUUUUCCAUUUUAUUAAAAAUAAAAAUCAGAUAUCUUAUGUACAUAUUCAGUCCCUUUGUUCAGUACUUGAGAAGUGCCUUUGGCAGCAAUCAAUCCAGUUUAUUUCCUAAAGCCCUUUUUACAACAGCAAUUGUGUCAAAGUGCUUAUAUAGACACCCAAGAAACCCUAAACCGCAAGCAAAAACAUGGUUUGAUUCACAGGAAAAACUCCCUAUGAAGAAACUUAGAGAGGAAUCAGACUUCUGGCUGUGCCGGCUGAAGAUUACAAAUGAUAAUAAUUAAUAAAUGCAUGUGGGCUGUGUCCAGUGUCUAUAAACAGAUCACAGUCUCAUUGGGUACGUCUCUACCAGCUUUCCACACCUGGAUUUUGGCAGUUUCGCCCAUUCUUCCUUGCAUAUCCCUUCAAACUCUGUCAGGAUGAGUAGCGUCAGUGAACUGUGAUCUUUAGGUGUCCCCACUCAGGGACAUCCACAGACUUGGAGUGCUGAAGGCUUGGAGUACUGAAGCCAUUCCAGCGGGGUCUUGGUUGUGUGCCUCAGAUUGUUGUAAUGCUGAAAGAUGAAUCUUCGCCCCAGUCUAAGGUCCUGUGUGCAAGGGUCAUUCUGGCAGUUUCACCCAUCUUGGAAGAAAAACUCUGAAGCCCUGGUAGAGUGGCCAUUGUGAUUUUCAUUACUUACCUCACCAAAGCACUUCUUGCUUUGUUACUUAGUUUGUCCAGACUGGCAGUUCUAGAAAGAAAUCAGGUUGGAGACCACCACAAUGAUGGAGCCCACCAUGCACCUCGGAAUUUUCAACAGGCCCACUUUAGCAAUUAUCUUUUCAAGUAAACAAACACUCAGUACUUGCAUUAAUACCUCAGUGAAAUUCAGUGUUGUUUUGCUUCUCUACCUUGACAAGAUACAAUCCUGUUUCCCCCCUUCAAAUUAACACUCAAUACAAUCUGGCUACCUCAGUAUAAAUUGUCAAUCUGCCUGCCCCAACACCAGUUGUCAAUCUGCCUGCCCCAACACUAGUUGCUUACUGUUGUUUGAGGCUGGGUAUCUGUAUAAGCAUUUUGUGACAACUGCUGAUAUAAAAAUAGAGUUGUAAAGAAAAUGGGACUGAUUUGUCUAUAUGCAUUGAGAUUCCCGAGGUUUCCAUGAGAACUGAAGCAAAUUAGCGAGGCUAGGAUUUAUUUUCUCUCUUUUGGUAAUUUUUAAGAAAGUAUAAGGUUGGAAAACACAAUUAAAUAGAUUAUUACCAUAGCCUAAAUUGACAGGGAGCGUCAUCCUUUAUCUGGGGGUAUCCCCCAUUACGAGUGAUUUGUGUCUGCCUGGGUAAUCUCUGGCCACCUGGAUGUAGCAAUUAUUACAUUGCCUGGUCGAAAAUAUUUGAGCCACAUUCGAUAAAUUAUUUUUAUAGACAAGAAUGUUUUUUUGAGUGGGACACAAAAUGUCCCACUCAAAAAAAGAAUAGCCUACAUAGAAGGAUUAUUUCUAAGCACACAGUCAAUAAUAUUUUAAUUAGUUUAUUAGGCCCCACAAAUGUACUAAAUGAAAAUUACACAACACUGAAAUUAUUCCAAAUUAUUCCAUUUGAAUUUAGUUUUAAUUUCCAUCUAAUUUUGAUGAUGUACAAGGUAAUAAGAGACACUGUCGACCAGUUCGCUACGAUCAAAGGAUAUCGGCAUGAAUAGCCUUACAAAGGCCUAAAGCACUGUUGCUUAGUAAACCCAAUACAUUUGAUAAAUAAAUAAAGGAAAGGAAGAGUUACAGUUAGUCUACACUGUCACGGUGCCACCUGUGAUCAAGCCAGCCUCCGGCUGCUGGCACCGCUUUCACGGUCUCCACUAUUAAGCACACCGGUUCCUGAUCACAUCACCCAGGACUUCCCAUCAUUAUGCACACCAAAUUGCUAGGCCUACAGCUAAGAAAAACUGCACCAGGGUUUACAUUAGCCGGCAAAGGCCGUAUUCUGACAGAUUAAAAUAUCAACUGUCAAAAUGUCCGGUGGUAAAUAUGCCAAGUGAAUAAGUAAAUAGAUUAAUAGCAUAUUAAAUAGCCUAAUAUUGAGUGACCUGUAUGAUCUGUUGCCAAGAAAACAGCAAGCCUCCCCUCACCCUCACAAUAAUAAGACAUUACUGAGUCAUGUGACUGGCUUGGCGCGAGAAUCAAAAGCAGCACAAACCGGCAUAGACAUAAUAAAGAGUAGACCCUGCAUUGGCUGCUGGGCGCGGGAAAUACGUCCGCCAUCUUGGACCGGUCGUACUCCUAAUUGCGUUGCAGCAGAAACAACGAUGCCAGAGCACUGUGGAGCAUAGUCCUGCUCAUAUCGGCGGACCAUCGAAAGCAGGGCUCGUGGGAUUACUUUUCACAAGUAAGAUUUAACAUUACCGUAUAAUUGGUUGUAUUUUGUGACUAGAAUAUUACCAGAGAGUUGAGAAGGAGCAAGGAUCUUUGAUAUUACUGUAAUGCACCAGCCGGUGUUCACCCAGCUAUGAACUGAGACUUGAUUAGUCAUAUUCCAUAACACUGGCUUAGAUUACAACUGACACAAGAAUGCUAUUGUAGAAAUAAAACAAAUAUUACUGGAAUAACAUUGGCCAGCUUAUUUUACACAAGUGGCACAGACUGUAUCAUAUAUAGUCGUAUAUAUAAAUAAAAGACAGUAUUAUCAGUGUUGGGCAAUACUAGCUUAGCCAGUAACUUAGUAUUUUGGUGGUAGCUUCACUAUUUCCAGAGUCAAGGAACUUUUCAGUAGUAGUAACUCCUUUAUUUACAAAGUAGCUUGGCCACACAAGCUACACUUUUCUUGUCAUGUCAAAUUAGCACAACUUAAAGUAGCUUCCUAUGUAGUGAACUAGCCUACUGCUGUGUUUUUGUUAUUUAUUGUGUUCCUAAGAUGCUCCUAACUGCUUCAGUUUUGUUUGUCUGAAUUGUUUUGUAUUUAGUGUUUUUCAGGUCCUAGAUGCUUCUAAAUGGUAUGUAUUACACAACAUCAACUUUAUGCAGGUGUCAGAAAGAUUGGUAUGUAUGUUGAUAGGAUGUUAUCUUGUUUACAUGUUUUUCAAUAUGCAGUUUUGUUUCUGUUGGCAUUAUCUUGUAUUCAAUGUGUUUUUCAGGUCCUAGAUGCUUCUAAAUGGUAUGUAUUACACAACAUCAACUUUAUGCAGGUGUCAGAACGAUUGGUAUGUAUGUUGAUAUGAUGUUAUCUUGUUUAAAUGUUUUUCAAUAUGCAGUUUUGUUUCGUUUGGCAUUAUCUUGUAUUCAGUGUGUUUUUCAGGUCCUAGAUGUUUCUAAAUGGUAUGUAUUACACAACAUCAACUUUAUGCAGGUGUCAAAAGGUUAGGUAUUGUAUGUUGAUAUGAUGUUAUCUUGUUUAAAUGUUUUUCAAUAUGCAGUUUUGUUUCGUUUGGCAUUAUCUUGUAUUCAGUGUGUUUUUCAGGUCCUAGAUGUUUCUAAAUGGUAUGUAUUACACAACAUCAACUUUAUGCAGGUGUCAGAACGAUUGGUAUGUAUGUGUUGUUUUCAAGUUAUCCCAGUUCUGCAAUUACAUUGUUCCAAGUUAAUGUUCCUUUGUGUACAAGUAUACUGUAUAAGUUAAACAAGAAACUGAUCCCAUUCCUAAAAACAUGGAUGCAAACUAAUUAUCUAUCUGCCCUGGUAGCUGUUUCCCAUUUUCAUUCUCUGUGAGUUUGCACCCCUGUGAUAGGCACUUUACUGCUUUGUAUUAACAAAAUCACAUGGGGCUUUCUUGGGGUGUCUUUGCCAUGAUCAGAGUAAUACAACUUUUUUAUUUUGCAGGUACUUGUCGGUCAUCGGAUUUGUCAUCAAUAUCGACGUGUGAUGCUGAUGAUUCCUGAACUGCUUGGGGCUCCUUUUUAAUUCAAUCAGCGCAUCAGGCGGCUGGAAUAACAAUCCAUCGGCACGCCAGUUCCAGGCCAUCUUCUGCCGGCUGAUGGUUCGGUGUGGUGUCUCACCUGGUGAGACAGGCAAUGUGGCAGCCCAGGAUAACACUGUCCCUGUCUGCAGUGGAGAUGUCCUCUCCUGAAACUGCUGAAGAGCACCCAUCUCCAUUCGCCCACAUUUGCCCCUUGUGUGUGACCACAGUUAUCUCCCCACUCGGUUUGGUGGUCUGGUGGCAAAUGCUCUGGUCAACAUAGCAGGGUUUGUAGUCCGGAAGAUUCUACGAAAACUGUCCUGUGAUGUGUGCCAUGCGAGCUUGGUCAGAGAUGCUGUACCAUCGUCAUUUGACAAGAGCUACCACCUUCUAAACCUGAAAAACAACGGCGGCCGAGUCAUUCCAUCACAAGGUGCUGAGAGCUGCAGAGGGGGUGAUUCACCAAUGCAAGCUCCUGAGGUGUCGACAGUCACACACAUCGUCCGGGAGGAGAUUGGAACGGAGGAUGUUUUUUGCUUGGGGAACACAUUGAGGAGACUCAGUUUGGCAUCGACAACCAUCAGUCUGACUUGUUGUCAUUGGUUGUGUCUGUGUUUCUCAAAAUAAGUCCCGCACCACAUUGCCAAACUCACCUCUCUUGAACUGCAGAAAGGGAGCACGAGGAAGAAGCUCUGCAAAACUGUCCUCUUUCAGGGGUUUUAGAGCGUGUGUGUGUGUGUUGUUCCAUGACAAUUCAAGACUUUAAUCCUAAAUUCCGGCAUCCAAAAACUAAUUCUAAGCUUUAUAUCUGUACUUUUAACCUUACUCAUCACACAUAGUAUCUUUAUGUCAUAUAUGUCAUCAUUCUGACAAGAUUAACACUGAAACUGAAAGCAAUGGCUUAAAACUGCCUGGAAACAGUGGUCUGUCACAUUAUAUGUGAAUACUGCUGUGUUGGUGGGUCUGUAAAUACCUCUGUUUGUUUGUGUUUCAUGAACUCUAGCCUCAUGGUGUGUGUCUCCAGGAAUCCAAAUGUUGGUCUCCUUUGCCUUACACUGGGUUUGUGAGCUUGUGUAUAGUGAAAUGUAUCUUUACAUUAUGUCUUUGUGAUUGUCUUAACCCUGAUCUCUUUCCCUCUGGGUUCUGUAAAGCACUUUGUAACUGUGUUUUGAAAAUUGCUACAUUAAGUUUGCAGACUUUUCUAGGGAGUUUCAACAUAGUAAAUGUGCAGUUUAAAUAAAAACCGUCACUUUUCAUUUCAUCCUGCUAUUUUAGACAGAGUACUGGGACCCGUGUGUGUAUGUUGGGAGGGGGGCUGCGAAAUUAAAGAGAGAGAGAGAGAAUGAAAAAAAUAUAUAUAUACUGCCACUAUUUACACAUUAGGUGUAUCAAUCAGAAUGAUAGUCAAACUGGAAAUGUCCCUGUUCUUCUCCCUUUUUGGGGAUAAUGUUCCCAGUUUUGUUCUCGUUUUGAUCUCGGAUGUCUAUUACUGUUAAAUGAUAUUACUGUUAAGCCCACUAUGAAUAUUAAAAUACCCUGAACCAUG
ensembl:lncRNA